AAGUCGUAACAAGGUUUCCGUAGGUGAACCUGCGGUUGGAUCAUUAUUAUAAUGACUCUUUUAUAGAGAGACGAGGGAAUUCUCCCUGCAGACUCUUUAUAAAAGUGACUAACCAUUUGUGCACUGUGAAUGUAUUUUGGGUCUGGCGUUAAACCCAGGCCCUGCCAUUUGAAAACCAUUUUUAAACUUGACUAAAACUUUUAAAUAUAAAAUUUUAAAACUAUAGACAACGGAUCUCUUGGUUCUC
rnacentral:misc_RNA from 1 species